UACGUUAGCGGCGGACGGGUGAGUAACACGUGGGUAACCUACCUAUAAGACUGGGAUAACUUCGGGAAACCGGAGCUAAUACCGGAUAAUAUUUCGAACCGCAUGGUUCGAUAGUUAAAGAUGGUUUUGCUAUCACUUAUAGAUGGACCUGCGCCGUAUUAGCUAGUUGGUAAGGUAACGGCUUACCAAGGCGACGAUACGUAGCCGACCUGAGAGGGUGAUCGGCCACACUGGAACUGAGACACGGUCCAGACUCCUACGGGAGGCAGCAGCC
rnacentral:rRNA from 1 species